rnacentral:rRNA from 1 species
GUACACUCCUGCGGGAGGCAGCAGUGGGGAAUUUUACGCAAUGGGGGAAACCCUGACGUAGCGACACCGCGUGAGCGAAGAAGCCCUUUGGGGUGUAAAGCUCUGUCAGCUGGAACGAAAACAAUGACGGUACCAGCAGAGGAAGCAUCGGCUAACUACGUGCCAGCAGCCGCGGUAAGACGUAGGAUGCGAGCGUUGUCCGGAUUUAUUGGGCGUAAAGAGUUCGUAGGUGGUUUGUUAAGUUUGGUGUUAAAGAUCGGGGCUCAACCCUGGGACUGCACUGAAUACUGGCAGACUCGAGUGUGGUAGAGGCUAGUGGAAUUCCCAGUGUAGCGGUGAAAUGCGUAGAUAUUGGGAAGAACACCGGUGGCGUAGGCGACUAGCUGGGCCAUAACUGACGCUGAGGAACGAAAGCCAGGGGAGCGAAUGGGAUUAGAUACCCGAGUAGUCCCAUGA